UCCAGACUCCUACGGGAGGCAGCAGUGGGGGAUAUUGCACAAUGGGGGAAACCCUGAUGCAGCGACGCCGCGUGGGCGAAGAAGUAUUUCGGUAUGUAAAGCCCUAUCAGCAGGGAAGAAGAAAUGACGGUACCUGAGUAAGAAGCACCGGCUAAAUACGUGCCAGCAGCCGCGGUAAUACGUAUGGUGCAAGCGUUAUCCGGAUUUACUGGGUGUAAAGGGAGCGCAGGCGGCACGGCAAGCCUGAUGUGAAAGCCCGUGGCCCAACCGCGGGACUGCAUUGGGAACUACCGGGCUGGAGUGCCGGAGAGGUAGGCGGAAUUCCUAGUGUAGCGGUGAAAUGCGUAGAUAUUAGGAGGAACACCGGUGGCGAAGGCGGCUUACUGGACAAUAACUGACGUUGAGGCUCGAAAGCGUGGGGAGCAAACAGGAUUAGAUACCCCUGUA
rnacentral:rRNA from 1 species